UUUAAUAUGGCAGAAUUAAGUGCAAUGAAAUUAAAAUUCAUACAUAAAAAAUUUUUUUUUAUUAAAA
rnacentral:tRNA from 1 species